UAGGGAAUAUUGGUCAAUGGACGCAAGUCUGAACCAGCCAUGCCGCGUGAAGGAUGAAGGCCCUCUGGGUCGUAAACUUCUUUUAUUAGAGAAGAAACCUCAGGAUGCGUCCUGAGCUGACGGUACUUAAUGAAUAAGGAUCGGCUAACUUCGUGCCAGCAGCCGCGGUAAUAA
rnacentral:rRNA from 1 species